rnacentral:rRNA from 1 species
CCUUAAGUAAACAGAACUGUGGGGACACGUGUGGAGAGCACAAGCCGGAAAUGGAAAAGCCGGUGCAAGCGAGGUAGGAGAUGAACAGGCAAAUCCGUUCAUCAAUCCGAAGACGUGAUGCGGACCGAAUUAAGAGUAGGGAAGUGUGUGAGCCAUGCGUCAAGAAAAGCCGCUAUUGUUUUACUUAAGCCCGUACCGUAAACCGACACAGGUGGAUGAGGAGAGAAUCCUAAGGCCGACGGGAGAAGCAUAGUUAAGGAACUCGGCAAAAUGACUCCGUAACUUCGGGAGAAGGAGUGCCAGCGAGAGCUGGCCGCAGAGAAUUGGCCCAAGCAACUGUUUAGCAAAAACACAGGUCUAUGCAAAACCGUAAGGUGAAGUAUAUGGGCUGACGCCUGCCCGGUGCUGGAAGGUUAAGAGGAGAGGUUAGCGGCAACGCGAAGCUUUGAAUUUAAGCCCCAGUAUACGGCGGCCGUAACUAUAACGGUCCUAAGGUAGCGAAAUUCCUUGUCGGGUAAGUUCCGACCCGCACGAAAGGCGUAAUGAUUUGGGCACUGUCUCAACAAUGCACCCGGUGAAAUUGAAAUACCAGUGAAGAUGCUGGUUACCUGCGCCAGGACGGAAAGACCCCAUGGAGCUUUACUCCAGCUUGAUACUGGGAUUCGGUAUUGCAUGUACAGGAUAGGUGGGAGGCUAGGAAGUGAUAACGCCAGUUGUCACGGAGCCGCUGUUGGGAUACCACCCUUGCAGUAUUGGAUUUCUAACCAGCGACCAUGAACUGGUCGGGGGACAAUGUCAGGUGGGGAGUUUGACUGGGGCGGUCGCCUCCGAAAGGGUAUCGGAGGCGCUCAAAGGUUCCCUCAGAAUGGACGGAAACCAUUCGAAGAGUGCAAAGGCAGAAGGGAGCUUGACUGCGACACCGACGGGUGGAGCAGGUACGAAAGUAGGACUUAGUGAUCCGGUGGUAUAAAGUGGGAUUGCCAUCGCUCAACGGAUAAAAGCUACCCUGGGAUAACAGGCUUAUCACUCCCAAGAGUUCACAUCGACGGAGUGGUUUGGCACCUCGAUGUCGGCUCAUCGCAUCCUGGGGCUGAAGUAGGUCCCAAGGGUUGGGCUGUUCGCCCAUUAAAGCGGUACGCGAGCUGGGUUCAGAACGUCGUGAGACAGUUCGGUCCCUAUCCGGCGUGGGCGUAGGAUAUUUGAGAGGAGCUGUCCUUAGUACGAGAGGACCGGGAUGGACUGGCCGCUGGUGUAUCUGUUGCAUACCAAAUGCAUGGCAGAGUAGCCAAGCCGGGACGGGAUAAACGCUGAAGGCAUCUAAGCGUGAAGCCCCCCUCAAGAUGAGAUAUCCCUACGUAAGUAGUAAGACCCCUUGAAGACGACGAGGUAGAUAGGUCAGAGGUGGAAGUACAGUAAUGUAUGGAGCUGACUGAUACUAAUCGGUCGAGGGCAUGACC